UCUUGUCCCCAUUGUCACCAUGUUCGCUGUCUCCUGUUCCUCCUGCUCUUCCCACCCUUCCCUGGGGAACCAGGAACAUCCGCAGGGGAAGAUCUGGGGGUGGGUGAUCCACUGGUCAUACCCCUGCUCUCCUCUCCAGCUGUGAUCUCUCUGAGGAAUCUAUCCUCAGUCUAACACGUCUUCCACUGACCUCAACCUUUUUAUUCCUACCUUGGACCUUACAUUAUCCUGUUACCCUACCUUAACCUAAAUCCUACCUUCAAGUACACCUAAUGUACCUUACGUAACCUUAACUUUAACCUUACCUAUAAUCUUAAAUUUAACCUCACCUUAACAUUUAACCUGAAAUCUAACCUUAACUUUGACUUCACUUUAACCUUACCCUAUCUUACCUUACUUCACAUUACAAUUCUUCCUCCUACCUCUCCUAUCUCCUACAUAGAAUAUAAUUAAUUUAGUCAGAACAUCAUUAACUGUCAUAACUUUCACUCCCUCUCUGUUAAAACCUAACUUUCGGCACAGGCCAAAGGUGCAAGAAUACAUUCCGGUUAUAUGCUGUAUAUCAGGGAAACACUUUCUUUUUUCAACUCACCAUUGUCAAAAUGUGUCUGUUAACAGCCUUUCGUAAUCUUGAACUGGUGAGUGUUCUAGAAAACCCACAUACUCCAGUUGAAUUUGUCUGACCCCUGAGUGCUCAAUAUGUUUAAAGCACACAAAAUGGGUCUUCUCCUUGUUCUGCCGGCUGUUACAAUUCCCUACGCCUUUAUAACGACUUUAAGUGGUCAGGAUUUAGUAAGUAGCAUUUGCUUGUCCAACUAGGUAAUUGUUUAUGCAGUAUCUCAAUCUGAUAUAUACACCAGUCAGCUCUUCAUAUAUUACAUACAUUCAUAUCUCAUUCACUAAUGAAUAUAUAAUUAUUCCUGUACAGAUUGAAAAGGAUGUCUGCAGAGUCUAGUUUUUCAGAAAUAGUUUUGUGUGUAGUUUACCACUGACCAUUAAUCCAGCUUGAUUGACAACUCUCUUGGCUAGUGUGUCCAUUAUUUUGGCUAGGUUGACUUUUGCACAUACACACAGAAUGCCUUCCAAAACCAGUGUGCAGUAUAUAUUAUCUAGCCAAGCUAAGUACUGUAUAUGUAUACAAUAUAAACAGUACUUACGUAUACGUAAUGCAAGUCUCAAAUUCAGCAGUUAGUGUAUCAAUUAAUACUCAAUGUUUAAUCUUUCUUAUAGCUGAUUAUUCUAAAUAUUAACAUUUACUAAUUGUUAUAAUUUCACUCGCUAAAUAGUUUCUAUAUCAUAUUUACUAAAAUUACUAUUAUUUUCCAAAGCAUGCAUCAAGCUUUUAGGAAAAGGAUCAUUUUAAAUGUACAAAUGCCAUUUCUCAAGCCAAAUAUUCCCAUGGUUUGACAGUCAGUAUUGGGAUACUGGCUGAAAGUGGUACGUAUGUAUUAUCUGGUGGCUGUGUAAGGCUAUUACAUUGCCAUUGGAAAGGUGCUAAAGAGUUGGAAAACUACGUAACAGUCGUUUUUACAAAGGGUGUCCUGUUUUGUAAAACCACCAUGGUACAUCCCAAAAAUAACUAUUUAAACAAAAAAAAAAUCAUAAAACAAUUGUCAUUAAUAAACCAGUGUGGAGCUGGUUUCACUGUCACAUCUUUCCUGGUUAAGGCCGGUGAUGAUCCACAGCCCUGCAUGCCUAUCCUGACUUAGCCCCUUGGAUUUAUUUUAAAUGUAAUUUUGAGGGAAAACCUGGAACGACUCCCUUUUCUGUUUGUUUUACAAAAACAAAUGUUCAUGUACUUUGUCCAGAUACUUUGUCCAUGCUUUCUCUGGAUAUAGCGGCCCAUCAUUUAUUUGUAAAGAUAUAGUGGAAGGAAGUUGUGGCAAAAUAGCAAUAACAUACAACACAAAGAGCACUUAAGUGAUUUAGGAAUAGCUUACAAUAUACUGUAAAAUAUGCUAACAUUUUGCCUUUUUGUACAGAGAUAGACCGGUCUGUACAAUAAACCAGUUUCAUGUUGGUUUUCCAAAGCAGAAAAUAUGGAAGAAUUAACCAAAUACAUUUAAUACAAUUUAACAUACAAGUGACCUAGAUGACACAAUCUAACUGAAAAUUGUACACCUUUUAUAUAACCACCAUCGUCCUUGGAUAAUAUAAGCAUAGCCAACUCAAAUUGGUUAACUCUAUUCAAUUUCCAAAUAGUGAUCCAAAUGAACACAACUAAUCUGUCAUGAUGUCAUUCCCAAACUCAUUUAUUUGUGUGUCUAAAUGGUAAUACAUGUAAUGAGCUCUAACGUUAAAAUGAAAGAAGACUAGACAGAAAGGUAGGUACAGUAGUUAAGGAAUGUUAAUGUGUUUACAUAAUCUGUAAUUUACACAUUAUCUGUAAAAUAAAGUGAAGAUGACUCCUAGAUGUAGGAUUUUUUUUAAUCUUAUUUUCUGAGUUUGUUUUCUUUGGCAUUCUACAUAUGGAAUAGCUGUAAAACAAAUUAUUGAUGUGAAUCUGUAAUUACAGCAUUAAUCUAAAUGACUGAACUUAGUGAGAAUGUUCAGAAGUAACAGAAA
ensembl:lncRNA